rnacentral:rRNA from 1 species
GACGAACCGAGCGAACGUUAUUCGGAGUCACUGGGCUUAAAGGGCGCGUCGGCGGGUUGCCAAGUUCGGGGUGAAAACCUCCAGCUCAACUGGAGAACUGCCUCGAAUACUGGUGAUCUCGAGGAAGGUAGGGGCAUGCGGAACUGUGGGUGGAGCGGUGAAAUGCGUUGAUAUCCAUAGGAACUCCGGUGGCGAAGGCGGCAUGCUGGACCUUUUCUGACGCUGAGGCGCGAAAGCCAGGGGAGCAAACGGG